AACAAAGCUACCCAGUCAAGGAUGCAUUUGAGGAGGCCCUACUCUUGGCUGAUUCCAGGGAGCCACUUCAUUAUUCUGACUUGAAAUUUCUUCAUCUCCAAAAUCAGAGGAAGAAUGCACAUCACAGUCCUGCUCUGACAACAUAGGCCCAGGGAAAUGAAGAAGAGCAAUUUUUACAUUAUUGUAAACUGCAAAAA